rnacentral:lncRNA from 1 species
CUUUAAUGAAAGGUCUUUGUAAAUGAAAAUACUGUCAUUAGAAUGUACAUGUUUAACCAAACAUGUCUCUGGUACCGCUAGUCCCUCUACAGAUAUUUCCUUAUUCUCAUCCUCAAUGAUUAAAACUCCUCCCUACCGUACCUUCCCCAGUGAUAUGAAUGGGAAGCCCGUCAGCUGACAGAGUUUCCUCUUUUUCCCCAGUUCACACUCCCUGGAGGCCUUCAUGGGAAAUGGAAUGUCUCAAAGACAGGCAGCAGGAGAGACGCGGGUGAUCUUCAGACUGGACGCUCAGCACUCAUCUCGCCCUCCUGUUAUGAAAGUAAACAACCAAUGUGUGUUAAUGCCCUCUCUGUGCUGGAAUGCUGGUGCUCAGGGGUGGUUCCCCAGACCAGCAGCAUCAGCAGUGGCUGAGUACUUCUGUUAGAAAUGCCAAUCAGAAACUCCGGGGGCGGAAUCCAGCCAUCUGUGUUUCAACAAGCCCAGGAGAUUCCCACAAGGAGCAUUUCCUGGAAGCAGAACUUGUCUCUCACUGAAACAGGACGUGACUAUGAGGCGUGUUCCAAUUUCAGCUGUUGGCGCCCCGGCUGCCAGGAGGAAGCCACAGCCCCAGCCCCAUCCUUGGUGGAGAGUGCCGGAGAGCGUGGCCGCUUCCUGAGGCCGGCAGAGCAUUCCAGUCUUCCUCACGCAGUCUUAGCCGUCAGACUGGGGACUAACCCUACUUGGAGUCGAUAUUCCUGCAAGAAACCUUCACUUAGGAAGUUUGAUCUUUGCCACAUCACAGAGACGGGGAGAGAGUAGGCCUUAGUUUUCACCUGUGGCUUAAUAUUAAUAUGUAAAUAUAUGAAAGAGAAAGCAGAAAUUGAGUGGACCCAGCCACCUGAGACCUUGGGGUCUUUAUUUAUUCCAGUAUUAAUUGUUUUUAUGAGAGGAUUAUUCAGCUGCACACACUGAAAGGACAGAGGACAGAAGGCUCCAUUUACCUAGGCUCCAUAUAAUCAAAAUGCAAGGAGUUUUAGCAUUUUUCUAACACCGAAAGAAACCUUGGCUAAGGUAUUUUAAAGCAAAAAUUAGCAACAUUGCUUGAAUCUUAGAUUAGAU